UCUUCAGAUCGUAUAAAUCUUUGCCUUUUACUAAAGAUUUCCAUGGAGA
rnacentral:snRNA from 1 species